rnacentral:rRNA from 1 species
GAUGAACGCUGGCGGCGUGCCUAAUACAUGCAAGUCGAACGAAACUUCUUUAUCACCGAGUGCUUGCACUCACCGAUAAAGAGUUGAGUGGCGAACGGGUGAGUAACACGUGGGCAACCUGCCCCAAAGAGGGGGAUAACACUUGGAAACAGGUGCUAAUACCGCAUAACCAUAGUUACCGCAUGGUAACUAUGUAAAAGGUGGCUAUACUACCGCUUUUGGAUGGGCCCGCGGCGCAUUAGCUAGUUGGUAGGGUAAAGGCUUACCAAGGCAAUGAUGCGUAGCCGAAUUGAGAGGUUGAUCGGCCACAUUGGGACUGAGACACGGCCCAAACUCCUACGGGAGGCAGCAGUAGGGAAUCUUCCACAAUGGGCGAAAGCCUGAUGGAGCAACGCCGCGUGGGUGAAGAAGGUCUUCGGAUCGUAAAACCCUGUUGUUAGGGAAGAAAGUGCGUGAGAGUAACUGUUCACGUUUCGACGGUAUCUAACCAGAAAGCCACGGCUAACUACGUG